ACUGAAUAGAUACCCCGGUAGUCCUAGCUGUAAACGGUGCACGUUUGCUGUAAGAGGAAUCGACCCCUUUUGUGGCGAAAGCUAAACGCGAUAAACGUGCCGCCUGGGGAGUACGGUCGCAAGAUUAAAACUCAAAGAAAUUGACGGGGGCCUGCACAAGCGGUGGAGUAUGUGGCUUAAAUUCGAUGCAACGCGAAGAACCUUACCUGGCCUUGACAUGCACGUAGUAGGAGCCUGAAAGGGUGACGACCUCGCAAGAGGAGCGUGCACAGGUGCUGCAUGGCUGUCGUCAGCUCGUGUCGUGAGAUGUUGGGUUUAAGUCCCGCAACGAGCGCAACCCUUGUGUCCUGUUGCCACCCGGGUCGAGAGACUGGAGCACUCUGGACAGACUGCCUCGCUUAAACGAGGAGGAAGGUGGGGAUGACGUCAAGUCAGGAUGGCCCUUACGGCCAGGGCUGCACACGUACUACAAUGCCCGGCACAAAGGGACGCAAGACCGAUAGGUGGAGCCAA
rnacentral:rRNA from 1 species